UGGAUUGUUACAUCUUUCUAAUAUUUCAUACCCUACUCUAUCUAGACCUACUUAUCUCAAAUCUGUGGAUUCUCAAAUCUGUUUGAUAUGAUUAAUUAUUUAACAUGUUAGUUGAGUUGGUCUGCUUAUGACAUAAUCUUAUACCAAAUCUAGACCUACUUAUAUCGGGUUGGGUUUGUGUCCUUUGGGCCAUGCUUUUAGGCCAUUGCAUUUGUUUUGGGCUG
rnacentral:lncRNA from 1 species